rnacentral:rRNA from 1 species
ACGACUACACUCCUACGGGAGGCAGCAGUGGGGAAUAUUGCACAAUGGGCGGAAGCCUGAUGCAGCAACGCCGCGUGCGGGAUGACGGCCUUCGGGUUGUAAACCGCUUUCGCCUGUGACGUAGCGUGAGUGACGGUAAUGGGUAAAGAAGCACCGGCUAACUACGUGCCAGCAGCCGCGGUGAUACGUAGGGUGCGAGCGUUGUCCGGAUUUAUUGGGCGUAAAGGGCUCGUAGGUGGUUGAUCGCGUCGGAAGUGUAAUCUUGGGGCUUAACCCUGAGCGUGCUUUCGAUACGGGUUGACUUGAGGAAGGUAGGGGAGAAUGGAAUUCCUGGUGGAGCGGUGGAAUGCGCAGAUAUCAGGAGGAACACCAGUGGCGAAGGCGGUUCUCUGGGCCUUUCCUGACGCUGAGGAGCGAAAGCGUGGGGAGCGAACAGGAUUAGAUACCCGGGUAGUCCACCAAUCC